rnacentral:rRNA from 1 species
CACAUGCAAGUCGAACGGUAACAGGAUAGCUUGCUAUCGCUGACGAGUGGCGGACGGGUGAGUAAUACUUAGGGAUCUGCCCUUGGGUGGGGGAUAACCAUUGGAAACGAUGGCUAAUACCGCAUAAAGUCUACGGACCAAAGGGGGCUUCGGCUCUCACCUGAGGAUGAACCUAAGCGAGAUUAGCUUGUUGGUGAGGUAAAGGCUCACCAAGGCGACGAUCUCUAGCUGUUCUGAGAGGAAGAUCAGCCACACUGGGACUGAGACACGGCCCAGACUCCUACGGGAGGCAGCAGUGGGGAAUAUUGCACAAUGGGGGAAACCCUGAUGCAGCCAUGCCGCGUGUGUGAAGAAGGCCUUAGGGUUGUAAAGCACUUUCAGACGUGAGGAAAGUUUGUUGGUUAAUACCCAACAGAUGUGACGUUAGCGUCAGAAGAAGCACCGGCUAACUCCGUGCCAGCAGCCGCGGUAAUACGGAGGGUGCGAGCGUUAAUCGGAAUUACUGGGCGUAAAGCGCACGCAGGCGGUUAUAUAAGCUAGAUGUGAAAGCCCCGGGCUUAACCUGGGAGAGUCAUUUAGAACUGUAUGACUAGAGUUUUGGAGAGGGGAGUGGAAUUCCAGGUGUAGCGGUGAAAUGCGUAGAUAUCUGGAGGAACAUCAGUGGCGAAGGCGGCUCUCUGGCCAAAAACUGACGCUCAUGUGCGAAAGCGUGGGUAGCGAACAGGAUUAGAUACCCUGGUAGUCCACGCCGUAAACGCUGUCUACUAGCUGUGUGCGGAUUCAUUUCUGUGCGUAGCGAAGCUAACGCGAUAAGUAGACCGCCUGGGGAGUACGGCCGCAAGGUUAAAACUCAAAUGAAUUGACGGGGGCCCGCACAAGCGGUGGAGCAUGUGGUUUAAUUCGAUGCAACGCGAAGAACCUUACCAUCCCUUGACAUCCCGAGAAGGAAGAAGAGAUUUUUCUGUGCCUUCGGGAACUCGAAGACAGGUGCUGCAUGGCUGUCGUCAGCUCGUGUCGUG